AGAGUUUGAUCCUGGCUCAGAACGAACGCUGGCGGCAUGCCUAACACAUGCAAGUCGGACGCUCCUUGGGGUUUCGGCCUCUGGGGGAGUGGCGGACGGGCGAGUAGCGCGUGGGAACCUGCCCCUUUGUGGGGGAUAACCGAGGGAAACUUCGGCUAAUACCGCAUGCGCCGGGAGCGAUCCCGGGAAAGAUUUAUCGCAGAGGGAGGGGCCCGCGUCGGAUUAGGUAGUUGGUGGGGUAACAGCCUACCAAGCCUUUGAUCCGUAGCUGGUCUGAGAGGAUGAUCAGCCACACUGGGACUGAGACACGGCCCAGACUCCUACGGGAGGCAGCAGUGGGGAAUAUUGGACAAUGGGCGCAAGCCUGAUCCAGCAAUGCCGCGUGAGUGAUGAAGGCCUUAGGGUUGUAAAGCUCUUUCGCCCGCGACGAUGAUGACGGUAGCGGGAGAAGAAGCCCCGGCUAACUUCGUGCCAGCAGCCGCGGUAAUACGAAGGGGGCGAGCGUUGUUCGGAUUUACUGGGCGUAAAGGGCGCGUAGGCGGCGGCCCAAGUCGAGUGUGAAAGCCCCGGGCUCAACCU
rnacentral:rRNA from 1 species